GCUUGCGGCGAGACUCUCCUGCGGGAGCGGGAGGCUUGGGCCUCUCAGGAGGGCACAGGUACGGGGCGCGGGGCGACAGAGGCAGAAACCCAGGCAGCCCCAGACGGCGAGCAGGGCGGGAGAGUGGAAGGGAGGGAGAAGACGGAGAAACAGCGACUGCGACGGGCACAGAGGGAGGACAGAAACGCUGCCCCUUAGGUGGGGAGUGAAACCUCCCGUGAGGGAGCGGCGAGGGCGGCGGGGACGGUGAGAAACGGACAGAGGAGCCCGCGGGAGACAGAAACGGAGGGAAGGGGGCUGACCAUGAGAGAAACGAGGGGGAGAGAGAAGAGAGCACGCGGGAGACUGCAGGGAAGGCGCGGGAGAUGGAGACUCAGAAAACAACCGUAAGAGACAAAGGAAAAGAUACCACAGCGCUGGGCCUGGGGAGAGAACGCAGUGAGAAAUGGAGACGAUGAGAGUAUGAGGUGAUAUAGCAAAACCGACCGUGAAAAAUCGAGUGAGAAGCAGGUGGCGAAGCUGAGAACUGAAAGUGAAAGACAAGAGGACGGAAGAUACAGAAACAGUUUGGGCCCAGUGGCUCCCGCCUGCAAUUCCAGCACUUUGGGAGGCCGCAGCAAGCCGAUGACUUGAGCCCAAGAGUUUGAGACCAGCCUGGGCAACAUAGUGAGAACCCAUCUCGACAAAAAAUCAGGCCGGGAGCAGUGGCUCACCCCUGUAAUCCCAGCACUUUGGGAGGCCGAGGCAGGCGGAUCACGAGGUCAGGAAUUUGAGACCAGCCUGGCCAACAUGGUGAAACCCGUCUCUACUAAAAAUACAAAAAUUAGCCGGGAGUGGUGGCACACGCCUGUAAUCCCAGCUAUUCAGGAGGCUGAGGCAGGAGAAUCACUUGAACCCGGGAGGUGGAGGUUGCAGUGAGCCGAGACCACGCCACUGCACUCCAGCCUGGGCAACACAGCAAGACUCUGUCUCAAAAAAAAAAAUUAGCCAGGCAUGGUGGUGUGCAUCUGUAAUCCCAGCUAUUCAGGAGGCUGAGGUCGGAGGAUCACCUGAGCCUGGGAGUUCAAGGCUGCAGUGAACUGAGAUCGCACCACUGCACUUCAGCCUGGGCAACAGAGCAAGAUCCUGUCUCAAAAAAGAGAGAGAGAAAUUUACCAUGAAAAAUGGAGUGAGAAACAGAGGUGGUGAAGGUGAGAUCUGAAAGAAAAGUGAAAGACUGAGGGGGAAAGACAGAUAAAUUGACCAGGAAAAACUAGGUGAGAAACAGAGAUGAGAGUGUGAGACUGAUAAUGAAACAAAAAGACAGAAGGACAAGGGAGAAAAAAAUAAAGAGAAACUGACCACGAAAACUGGAGUGAGAAAUAGAUGUAAUGAGGGUGAGAAAUUGAAAAAGAAAGACAGGGAAAAAGAAAUGAUGGGAAUAUGAAACUGACAACGAAAGAAAAAAAAUGAGAAAGAUGGUGAGAGAGAGCAAAAGAAAUUACCAUGAAAAAAAUACGGCAUAAAGACGAGUGUGAGAAAUUGAAAAUGAAAGGCAAAAAGAGAUUGGCACAGAGAAGAAAAGAUAGAGAAUUUGAUCAUGGAAAAUGAAGUGAGGCCAGGCAUGGUGGCUCACACUUAUAAACCCAGACAUAAGCCCAGCACUUUGAGAGAGUGAGACAGGAGGAUCGCCUGAGCUCAGGAGUUUGAGACCAGCCUGGGCAACAUAGUGAGCCCGUCUCUACAAAAAUUAAAAAUGAGCCGGGUGUGGUGGCGCACAUCUGUAGUCCCACCUUUUCAGGAAGCUGAGGCAGGAGGAUCGCUUGGGCCCGGGCAGUCAAGGCUGCAGUGAGCUGAGAUCACACCACUGCACUCCAUCCUGGGCAAUACAGAGAUAGAGAUGAUGAGGGUGAGAAAUGGAUAAUGAAAAAAAGAGACCAACAGCAAGUGAGAAACAGGAGCAGAGAUGGAUUCGCAGGGAUCCUGAGAGAUGGGGAUACAAGGAAGACAGGCAAAGAAAAAGGCAGAAGAAUGUGGUGACAGUGAUGUGGGGGCCAAAGCGGGGCGUGGUCCCAGGUGUGGAAGGAGCUGCAGCAGCAAGACAGAGGCCAUAGAGCAGAGGGGGAUGGAGCUGUGGCCCUGGAGGCUGAUUCUGCUGGCCAGAGGGAGGGGAUGGCCAGGGUAAGGAGAGAAGCUGCACUCCAGGAGUCCCCACCUCUGAGCCAUACCAGGCCCGGACCAGAGCGUGAGCUUCAAGAAUGGGUGAGGUUUCGCUUGCUCUGGGGGAGCUGGGGUGGGGACGAUGAUGUGAUGACAGAAUGGCCCUUGGUUGUGGGUUUGACUGAGGGCCCCAGGCUUGCAUAUUGUGUGGCUUACAGGAGGGCCAUGGGCUCAGGAUUGCUGAGCUUAGCCUGAUCUCUUAGAUGGUGUCCUUGGCUCUGAAGAAGUGUCACCAUUGAGCCCAAGGAGGUAAUGCGUUUAGGGUCUCAGGAGCCAAGGAAAACCUUUCCAGGGUGCCCCGAGGCCUCAGCCAGCUCAUUGAGAAGGGUCUUUCUGGAAACCCUGCAGGGAAGCGAAUGGAGGUUUAUGGAGGCCCUCCAUGGCCACCCCAAUCAGGCCUCUCACCUGUGUCCGGCAGGCGCCUUAUUGCUGGGGAGGAGCUACCCGGGCGCCGGGUGGUCCUCCAGGGGAGAGUGUGUCCAGGUACCCCCGCUGUGGUAGUCCCCUUGGCCAGGUCCUCUCUUGAGGUGGGGUCCCAGGUCCAGGGGGGAUAAUCGUCAUAGUCUGUGUAGCCUUUGGAGAAAUUGGGGUAAUGGUUGACCCCAUCCUCUUUCUCAGAGGUCCUUGCUGCUGCUCUUCCCUCCCCUUUUGGAAUCUUCUGGAGCAACUCUGGGAUCUCCCCACCCCGACCCCUCAUACCCAGUUCUUUAGAGUCGACCAUGGUGCCGUCACCUGGCCCCACCCUGACUCCAUUCUCCUGGCCACCCCCGACAACCCCACCACCGCCGCCAUGCCCUGGUACCAGUGCAGGUGAGCCCCACGUCUUCCUCGUGGUCACAGUUGUGCUUCCCCCAAGCCCCCGAGGGGCAGUCGCUCAGUGAGGCCUCGCUUCCCUUACAGCCCAUGUCAUCCAGCCAGAUGGGCCCAGUCCCAGGGCCGUAAUGGGUUUUGCCUACUCGAGGCCGGACCUUUCCACAGCCCAGUUCCCAGCAGGCCACAGUGGCGUCCCGCAGGUCCCAGUUGUCAUCACACACUGUUCCCCAGCGUCCGGCAUGCCACACUUCCAGCCGGCCAGCACAGCGGUUGGGCCCAUCGGCCAGACGAACCCGGAACAGGCCUGCGUGGAAGGCCCUUAGGUCAGGAGGGAGGGUCAGCCUCUCCCAUUCUCUCCCCACACCCCUCACGGCCACUCACCUGAUUCCCCAGUGGUGCUAACACUGGGAGAGGGGGCCGGGUCUUUGGGUGACUCUGGAGACCCUUCUGGGAUCUCAGCAGAUGGCUCCAGGGAGGCCUGAGGGAUACUCUUGAUAGUGGACUCAGAGGUCAUUUCUUGGGGGCCUUGAGUGGUCAGCAUUGCCAUGGUCUUAGUGGUCCGUUCUCGGGGGGCCUGAGGGGUCAGCGUGGCAGUGGUGUGAGAGGUCCAUCUCUGGGGGGCCUCCGUGGUCGGCCUUCUGGUAAACUCAGAGGUAGGUCUUCGGGAGGCCUCAGUGGUCAGUGCUGCAGUGGUCUGUGAGGUUAGGUCUGGGGGGCUUUGGGCCCUGGAGUGUUUCGUGGUUGGCAUCACUGGGGGUUGAGUGGUUGGUCUCUUUGCAUUUUUUGUCACCCACUUCUUAGUACUCUUAGGCAUUUUCCCUGGGGCCUUCGUGGUUGUUUUCUCCAGAACACUGGCAGUCACACUUGCAGAGGGCUUGGUGGCCAGCUCUCCCGGGAGCCAGGCAUCCCGAUCUCUCCCCAGUCCAGGAAUCCAGCUCCAGCUGAAGGGGUCUGAGAUGGAGUCCAGGCCUGGGGGCCCUGGAAGGUGAGUGGGGCAGGAAGAGAAGACAGAGACACCAUGAUGACAAGAUCAUCUACCCAGGCCCCUCCUUCUCUCCAGUCACUCACCCAGUUCCCAUUCAUUCAUCAUUCAUUCAUUUAUUGUCACAAAUAUUUAUUGAGCACCUCCUAUGAGCCACACACCAUAUUAGACCCUCGGGUAGCCUAUGGCAAGCCAAACCCGACACUGCCCCCGCCUUCUUGGCAUUUACAAUCUGGACAUAACUGACCCCCUCACCCUUUCACACCUGACCUCUCCUCUCCAUCUCCUCAGCUUCUGCUCUGAGUCAGGGCCUCAUUUCCUAUACCUUCUGACAGGUCUCCCUACCUCCCUGUCAAUUCUUACUGACCACCAGUGGGGUACCCAGGUCCGACAGGCCACUCCCGAACUCAGAAUCCUUCUGUGGUGCCCCCGUGGCCCUCAGGAAGACGGGGACAGAGGGAAGAGCCGUAGCUUCCAGCAGAGGUGAUGCCUCCAUCCUUUGAGACACCACUCUCCAUCUUCCAUCUUUCUGAUUAGCACACGUGUGCAGUAAAGGAUUAACCCUGCCCAAAGAAAGGUUUCGCCUUUUCCCCGGCUCCUGGGAGAUGACUUCGAAGCCUUUGGAACACCUUGCCUGAUAAGAGAUUUUUUUCCCUGGGGCACUUGGGCCAUGCCAGAUCGCCUAUGCUAACAGUGUGAUUUAUGGUCAGCCACAUGUACGUGGCCAAGUCCCCACGAACACUCUGGAUGCCAAGGCUUGGGGGAACUUCCCUAGUUGGCAGUUCCUCAUGUGUGUUGUCCCACUUCGUUGCUGGGAUAAUGAAGUGCUGUCUGCAUAACUCCACUGGGACAGGACAGUUGGAAGCUCACACCUACUGUCUCCUGAGCCCUGCCUCAGGCGCCUCUUCCCUUGGCUGAUUUUAAUCUGUAUCCUUUCACUGUGAUAAACGAUAACGCUGAGUGUAACAGAUUCUUUGAUUCUAAGAGUUCUUCUAGCAAAUUAUUGAGUCUGACAGUGGUCUUGGUAACCUCAAACUAUAACGAGUCACACAGGUUUGCAAUGAUUUGUUAGAGUAUUUCUCUACAUGAGCUGUGAGCUAUUCAAAGACCAAGACCAUGUUCAUUCCAUUCAUGAGCCCAGCAUGAGGACCCUGCACCUGGCUCAGCCUCUGCAAUUUAAUAACAGGCAUUGCCUGAGUUUAUGUUAACUGGCUCUCACUUUGGCUUCUUUCCAUCUCCCAGUGCCCUGCCUGCUUCCUUUCAUCGUAGGAAAGCUAAAGCUCCUUUCUUAGUGGGAAAUUUCCUUGAUUCCUGGAAGGAAGAGGAAGCAGAAGCUUCUCUGAGUGGGAAUCCCAGAUCUGCCAGUUAGUUGUUGCUGUGUGAUCUUGAGCAAGUUACCCAACCUCUCUGUGCCUCAGCUUCUUUAUCAGUAAAAUGGGCAUAACACACACCACCCUAGACUUAUUAUGUGAUUUCAAUGUGGUUAUAUGUGCAAAAACACCCAGCACAGGGCUGGGGCUUAGGAAGCACUCAAUCAAUGUUAGUGCCCAUGUUAGUUACUGUUCCCCUCCAGGAAGCCCUCCUGGAGUCAACAGAUAGCUAGGGCCUCCUUACCAGUGCAGGUGACCCCAACAUCCUCAUUGUGAGCGCAGUUGUGCUUUCCCCAGGGAGCAGCAGGGCAGUCGGACAGUGAAGCCUCGGUCCCCACACAGCCCACAUCAUCUAGCCAGAUGGGGCCCGCACCCCAGCCAAAGCGGCCAGCAGCAGGGUCUGGCUGCUGAGGUCCACCACAGCCCAGCUCCCGGCAGACCACAGCUGAAUCCCGCAUGUCCCAGCUAUCGUCACACACGGUCCCCCAGCGCUGGUCAUGCCACACCUCCAGUCGACCUGAGCACUUGCUGGGCCCAGCCACCAGGCGCAGCUGGGGGGACCCUGGGGUAGAAGAGACCCAAAGAAUUAGAGUCGGGGAAGCCGCCCAGCCUCCUGACUCUUCAUCCACCUUUCCCUCCCCCCAUCUUCCUUUCCACUCAUCCAUCUAGGCCUUCCCUCCAUUCAUCCAUCCUUUCCUCCAGGCAGCAAGUAUUUCAUGAGGCCUUUUUUGUGCCAUUUUCUGCAUUAGGCAUGAGGGAUAAUGAGUCAGGCAGAGUUUGGAGGAUCCUCAAAAAGCUACACAUCAAAUUACCAUAUAAUCUAGAAAGUCUGCUACUAGGGAUAUACCCAGAAUAAACUGAAAACAGGUAUUCACACAGAUACCAGUAUGUGAAUGUUCAUAGCAGCACCAUUCACAGUAGCCAAAUAGUAGUGGUUGUACAGCAUUUUGAAUGUAUAAAUACCACUUAAGUUGUAUACUUAAACUGGUUAACUUUAUGUUACAUGAAUGUCACCUCAAUUAAAAUAAGUCUUUUUCCAUGCAGUUGUUCAC
rnacentral:lncRNA from 1 species